CGUGCCUAAUACAUGCAAGUAGAACGCUGAAGAGAGGAGCUUGCUCUUCUUGGAUGAGUUGCGAACGGGUGAGUAACGCGUAGGUAACCUGCCUUGUAGCGGGGGAUAACUAUUGGAAACGAUAGCUAAUACCGCAUAACAAUGGAUGACACAUGUCAUUUAUUUGAAAGGGGCAAAUGCUCCACUACAAGAUGGACCUGCGUUGUAUUAGCUAGUAGGUGAGGUAACGGCUCACCUAGGCGACGAUACAUAGCCGACCUGAGAGGGUGAUCGGCCACACUGGGACUGAGACACGGCCCAGACUCCUACGGGAGGCAGCAGUAGGGAAUCUUCGGCAAUGGGGGCAACCCUGACCGAGCAACGCCGCGUGAGUGAAGAAGGUUUUCGGAUCGUAAAGCUCUGUUGUAAGUCAAGAACGAGUGUGAGAGUGGAAAGUUCACACUGUGACGGUAGCUUACCAGAAAGGGACGGCUAACUACGUGCCAGCAGCCGCGGUAAUACGUAGGUCCCGAGCGUUGUCCGGAUUUAUUGGGCGUAAAGCGAGCGCAGGCGGUUUGAUAAGUCUGAAGUUAAAGGCUGUGGCUCAACCAUAGUUCGCUUUGGAAACUGUCAAACUUGAGUGCAGAAGGGGAGAGUGGAAUUCCAUGUGUAGCGGUGAAAUGCGUAGAUAUAUGGAGGAACACCGGUGGCGAAAGCGGCUCUCUGGUCUGUAACUGACGCUGAGGCUCGAAAGCGUGGGGAGCGAACAGGAUUAGAUACCCUGGUAGUCCACGCCGUAAACGAUGAGUGCUAGGUGUUGGAUCCUUUCCGGGAUUCAGUGCCGCAGCUAACGCAUUAAGCACUCCGCCUGGGGAGUACGACCGCAAGGUUGAAACUCAAAGGAAUUGACGGGGGCCCGCACAAGCGGUGGAGCAUGUGGUUUAAUUCGAAGCAACGCGAAGAACCUUACCAGGUCUUGACAUCCCGAUGCUAUUUCUAGAGAUAGAAAGUUACUUCGGUACAUCGGUGACAGGUGGUGCGUGGUUGUCGUCAGCUCGUGUCGUGAGAUGUUGGGUUAAGUCCCGCAACGAGCGCAACCCCUAUUGUUAGUUGCCAUCAUUCAGUUGGGCACUCUAGCGAGACUGCCGGUAAUAAACCGGAGGAAGGUGGGGAUGACGUCAAAUCAUCAUGCCCCUUAUGACCUGGGCUACACACGUGCUACAAUGGUUGGUACAACGAGUUGCGAGUCGGUGACGGCAAGCUAAUCUCUUAAAGCCAAUCUCAGUUCGGAUUGUAGGCUGCAACUCGCCUACAUGAAGUCGGAAUCGCUAGUAAUCGCGGAUCAGCACGCCGCGGUGAAUACGUUCCCGGGCCUUGUACACACCGCCCGUCACACCACGAGAGUUUGUAACACCCGAAGUCGGUGAGGUAACCUUUUGGAGCCAGCCGCCUAAGGUGGGAUAGAUGAUUGGGGUGAA
rnacentral:rRNA from 1 species